rnacentral:rRNA from 1 species
UACGUAGGGACCGAGCGUUGUCCGGAAUCAUUGGGCGUAAAGAGCGUGUAGGCGGCCUUUUAAGUCCUGCGUGAAAUCCUGCGGCUCAACCGCAGACGGCCGUGGGAAACUGGAAGGCUAGAGUGCGGGAGAGGAGAGUGGAAUUCCCGGUGUAGCGGUGAAAUGCGCAGAUAUCGGGAAGAACACCCGUGGCGAAGGCGGCUCUCUGGAACGCAACUGACGCUGAGACGCGAAAGCGUGGGGAGCAAACAGG